rnacentral:tRNA from 1 species
GGUCCCAUCGUCUAGUGGCCUAGGACGCUGCCCUUUCACGGCGGAAACACGAGUUCGAACCUCGUUGGGAUCACCA